rnacentral:lncRNA from 1 species
CUGAACUUGGCAGGAAAAUCAGUAGGAGUAAGUGGUGGAGGCAUGGGACUGGCAGAGAUACGGCAGCCCCUGUGGAGAGGCUGUCUACAGAUAACAUAACAAUAACCACAGGAUCUGCGGGGUUCCUGCAUGUGUGUUGGCUUCACUGGAGAAACUAAUCAAGUGGUGCAGUUUGGACGCAGAGACUGACACACAGGCAGAAUACCAUGUGAAGACUGGAGUUUUGCAUAGAGAAGCCAAGGAGCUACCAGAAGCUAGGAGAAUGGCCUGGAACAGACCUUUCCUUAGUGCCUUCAGAGAGAGCAUGGCGCUGCCAACAUCUUGAUCUCAGACUUCCAGCAUCCUGAAUUGUGAGAUAAAUUUCUGCUGUUUAAACCAUAUAAUUUGUGAUACUUUGCUAUGGCAACUGUCACAGCUAUUAUAAGCACCUAACCCUUUUUUUAAUCUUUUAAGAAACUUUUUGCUUUCAUCUACUUUUUUUGUUCUGGUUAUUCCAUAUUUUACUUUAAGAUUUAGUCUUCUGUCAAUAAAGCAAUAAUUUCAGAUCAAUUUC